rnacentral:rRNA from 1 species
AGGGACGCUAUCGGAUACUGGGCGUAAGCGCACGCAGGCGGUCUGUCAAGUCGGAUGUGAAAUCCCCGGGCUCAACCUGGGAACUGCAUUCGAAACUGGCAGGCUAGAGUCUUGUAGAGGGGGGUAGAAUUCCAGGUGUAGCGGUGAAAUGCGUAGAGAUCUGGAGGAAUACCGGUGGCGAAGGCGGCCCCCUGGACAAAGACUGACGCUCAGGUGCGAAAGCGUGGGGAGCAAACAGGAUUAGAUACCCUGGUAGUCCACGCUGUAAACGAUGUCGAUUUGGAGGUUGUGCCCUUGAGGCGUGGCUUCCGGAGCUAACGCGUUAAAUCGACCGCCUGGGGAGUACGGCCGCAAGGUUAAAACUCAAAUGAAUUGACGG